AUGCAAGUCGAGCGGGGUUUUCGGACCUAGCGGCGGACGGGUGAGUAAUGCGUAGGAAGCUACCGGAUAGAGGGGGAUACCAGUUGGAAACGACUGUUAAUACCGCAUAAUGUCUACGGACCAAAGUGUGGGACCUUCGGGCCACAUGCUAUCGGAUGCGCCUACGUGGGAUUAGCUAGUUGGUGAGGUAAUGGCUCACCAAGGCGACGAUCUCUAGCUGGUUUGAGAGGAUGAUCAGCCACACUGGAACUGAGACACGGUCCAGACUCCUACGGGAGGCAGCAGUGGGGAAUAUUGGACAAUGGGCGCAAGCCUGAUCCAGCCAUGCCGCGUGUGUGAAGAAGGCCUUAGGGUUGUAAAGCACUUUCAGCGAGGAGGAAGGGAGUUGUGUUAAUAGCACGGCUUUUUGACGUUACUCGCAGAAGAAGCACCGGCUAACUCUGUGCCAGCAGCCGCGGUAAUACAGAGGGUGCAAGCGUUAAUCGGAAUUACUGGGCGUAAAGCGCACGCAGGCGGUUGGUUAAGUCAGAUGUGAAAGCCCCGGGCUCAACCUGGGAAUUGCAUUUGAAACUGGCCAACUAGAGUAUGUGAGAGGGGGGUAGAAUUCCAAGUGUAGCGGUGAAAUGCGUAGAGAUUUGGAGGAAUACCAGUGGCGAAGGCGGCCCCCUGGCACAAUACUGACGCUCAGGUGCGAAAGCGUGGGGAGCAAACAGGAUUAGAUACCCUGGUAGUCCACGCCGUAAACGAUGUCUACUAGCUGUUCGUGGUCUUGUACUGUGAGUAGCGCAGCUAACGCACUAAGUAGACCGCCUGGGGAGUACGGUCGCAAGAUUAAAACUCAAAUGAAUUGACGGGGGCCCGCACAAGCGGUGGAGCAUGUGGUUUAAUUCGACGCAACGCGAAGAACCUUACCUACUCUUGACAUCUACGGAAGUUUGCAGAGAUGCAGAUGUGCC
rnacentral:rRNA from 1 species